GAAAAUGUCACUUGUGUGUUUAAUGGUCUGAUCAUUUCAGCUGGAGUUGUAGGCUGUUUUAUUGUUGGGUAGUUUGAUUUAUA